rfam:Ictidomys tridecemlineatus contig070207, whole genome shotgun sequence.
GUAUAACUUGUUCCAGCUGCUCACAUACUAAAAUUGUAACAAUACAGAGAAGACAAGCAUGACUCCUGUGCAUGGAUGACAUGCCAUUUUUUUUUUUUUUUUU